ACCCAGACAGGCUAUCUCCUACCUGUGCGAUUUGCCUGGAGGAGAAAUCACUGAAGGGUGACCUGAAGCAAGUCAUCGCGAGUGGGUGUCGAUAAUAGUGAAACCAACACAUUGUCUUCUGCCUUCCAGAAAAAGCUCCCUCUGACUGCUCUCGCGCAGAACAUGCAAGAAGCGUCUACUCAGCUGGAAGAGUCUCUGCUGGGGAAGAUGCUGGAGACGUGUGGCGAUGCUGAGAAUCAGCUGGCUCUAGAACUUACUCAGCAUGAAGUCUUUGUUGAGAGAGAGAUUGUGGAACCUCUGUGCAGCAUAGCAGAGGUGGAGAUUCCCAACAUCCAAAAACAGAGGAAGCAACUCGCCAAAUUGGUGUUAGACUGGGAUUCGGUCAGAGCCAGGUAAGGUGUAGCAGUAAAAAUAACCAAUUAUGCAGGAUUAUUGUCACUCCCCCAGCAAUCGUCCUCGUCCCCAACACAGAUAAGAGAAAGGCCACUCAGUGGACAAGAUGCAGGUUUCCAGAUGCACGCACUCGAGCCACAGACCAAGUCACACCCACUUACACCUGCUUUUUAAGGCUUAUUCUCCCAAGCAUGGCAAUGGGGAUGAUGUUAGGACAUCGUGUUCUUAGUGAACCAGAAGUAAAAGGAGACAGGGGAAAAAAAAGGUAAAGAAACCUAAGUAA